ensembl:lncRNA
GGGGAAAGAAGAGUGUCAGGGAGAGGGAGACAGGUUGGUGGGGAAAGAAGAGUGUCAGGGAGAGGGAGACAGGUUGGUGGGGAGAGAAGAGUGGCAGGGAGAGGGAGACAGGUUGGUGGGGAGAGAAGAGUGGCAGGGAGAGGGAGACAGGUUGGUGGGGGAAGAAGAGUGGCAGGGAGAGGGAGACAGGUUGGUGGGGGAGAGAAGAGUGGCAGGGAGAGGGAGACAGGUUGGUGGGGGAGAGAAGAGUGGCAGGGAGACAGGUUGGUGGGGAAAGAAGAGUGGCAGGGAGAGGGAGACAG